CAUGAUCAAGUUCUUUAAUGACUCCCAGUCACCUGUAGAAAAUCCAGCUCCUUAGCAUACCUGUCAGCCUCCAUGCCCACCUGGGACAGCGCCCCGUACAAAAUAUUUUUGGCUGAACAAAUAAAUGACUAAAAGUUUGAGCAAAUGGUUAGUGAAUUGUAGAGGGAAGAGAACAAGGAAGAAAUAAAAGGAACUUAUUCCAUUUUCAUAGUCCAUAAUCCUCCCAGGUGCCAUUCUCACAGGACUUUGUCAGGUGUCUGAAUAAGGUUUGGGUAGCAAAGGGUCAAAACAUAUUAAUGAAUAAAAAUACACUUUAAGUUAUUUAUUUAUUUAGAACUCAUUUUAUUUUAGAAGUGGCUUCGAGCGUCUGGAAUAAUACUGGCAAUUUUAACUUUUGUUUGAAGCUUCCAUUUCUUGAACUUACUAGUUACCAUAACAUAUUAGGGACUUCUCAGGCAUUUGUCUUAGUAACAAGGCAUAAACAUGCGAUGAGGAAGGUGCUAUGGCAAGCUCCUUUCCAGAUGAAAAAACUGAAAUUUAAGGAGGUUAAGGGAUGGGCAUAAUGUCACAGUUGAUAAGUGGCUGAAAUCUGAACCCAGGACUGUUGACUGUAGCAUCCGUGUUCUUAAAUACUCUGGGUGUGCCAACCAGAUUGACUCGUCUGGAGGCUCACAUGGAUUGGCGGGGAAGGGAGGAAGGAAGGCCGUUCAGGUUGUGGUCUAAGGAAUGGACCCCAAAGGGGCAGAGCUCCACUGUCCCAAGCUCAUGCUCCACUCAAACCAGCAUCCCUACUUACACUCGUGGGACUGGAAUCCAGUGGGUGCAGGAUGGAAGGCAGUCCAAACACAAGCUGUCCUCAGGUUCAUACCAGUAUGUGGACCCUGGUUUCCAGUGACACAACUACAAGAAGUCGCAUCCCCAGUGUGAACUGGGAGUAUGAGACCCACGGUUUGGCCAGCUGACACAGAGGAAGAGGCAAGGGAUAGGUAGGAGUCAGUACACCCCUCCCCCACAUCAUCGAGGUAACUUGGGAUUCAGGGAACUGGAGCACUAAGCAGAAAAUCGGUCGGAGAGUCCAGCCCCCGUGGACACUAAGUCCACGGGGGCUGGCAAGAGGCUGAGUUAGGGGGCACCCAGGUGAACCCGAAUGUGUCCAAGACACCAAAACCCCAAGCCUACGGCAGCAAGACUAAUUCUGACUUCCGCCUAUUGGUGGGGUGUAUCUAUUGGUCUCCCUAAUUGGUCAGAUAGUCCAGAGGAAUAAGGAAAACAGAGGCUGACAGUGAAGACUCUUGGCAUUUUUACAGGAUCUCCCAAAAGGCCAUGAACCAUGAUGGGACUUCAGGCAGGUGUGGUGGAUAUUCAGUGGAGGAGAGAACCAUUCUAUAGCGUCCUCAAAUAACAACCACACAAAAAGCCCUGUUUUAUGAAAACUGUUCCUUGUAUUUUCAACAUUGAAGGGUCUAAGGACAAAAAUCAGGUGCACGUUAAUCCCCACAGACCUGCUUCCAUUGGCAUGUUAUCGUAAACGACACUGGGCAAGUAGCAAUCAUUGAUUAAACAUUUUUUUGUCAAAGGCUUUGAAUUAUGUUAUAACAGCAAUUAAAUGUUAGAAUAAAAAUACACAUUACAUUACAUAGAAAUGUAAUACCAACCCUUAAAUCUCCUUACCAGCAAAAGAUAACACUUUUAUUUCCCCCAAAAUGGAGUCUGACCUGUGCUCUCUCUUCCCAUGGAGUGAUUUUGAACGAAGACUGGUUGACUGAACGACAAUAUGCAGUUGAAGUAUUUUGUCACCAUCAACAUUAGUAACAGCAAUAUAAUUUAUUUGAAUCAAUGUACAAAUACACUGUGAAAUACCUGAAAAAUAAGAUGGAUUAGUCGAUCCACGGGAGGCAUCACAGAUGGAUAGAUGUGUGGUAGCGCAAGGUGGGGGGUCCAUGGGUGUUUAGUUCAAAAUUCUUCCAACUCUGCAGUAUAUUUUUAAAUUUCCAUAAUGGCUUGUUCGGAAAAACAUAUAUGGGAAAUGGGCCAGCCCAGCGGCAUAGUGGUUAAGUUCAUGUGCUCCGCUUCCGCAGCCCAGGGUUCAUAUGUUCAGAUCCUGGGUGUGGACCUACACACCGAUCAUCAAGUCAUGCUGUGGUGGCAUACCACAUACAGAAUAGAGGACAAUUGGCACAGAUGUUACCUCAGGGCCAAUCUUCCUCACCAAAAAGAGAAAAAAUAUUUUUAAAAAAUCAGUGGGAAACAAAACACAAUAGCUCUGUGAUUAAAAGCAUAUUAAUGCAUGGGAUUUCUUCAAAAUUGUUUUUCCUGGAUUUCUCAUCUACAAUUUAAGUAAAGAUCAAAGUUGAUUUCAAGAGGUCUUUCCUAAUCCUGAAAAUAAGUAAAAUCAACACAGAAUGAUUUUUUUAUGAAAAAGAAAAAGAGAUAUUUAUUUUUAAAUCUCAAAAUAAUUCAGGUAAAUACAUACAUACAAAUACAUACAUUUACCUGAAUUGAUGUAUACAUCUAUGUAUUUAUGUAUGCUUGUAUGUAUUUGAAGAUGCAGAGAAUGAGGAAGUGGAGGAAAAUAAGAGAAAGGAACCGUGAAAAAGAUGGCAACAAAUGUAACCAGGUCGGAAAGAUGAGGUUUGAUUAGAAUCUCAGAAAAGGUUAGAAAAGCAACCAAAACAAGUUCUGCCUACAAUAUGUUGAGAAACCCAGGGUCGGCUGCUUGGUGACUUGAUGGUACAGGAUGAAGACUGAUGUGCAUACUCCACGGUUCUACUGGAAAGGUCUGUUGUCGUCAGGGGAUUUCAUAUUGAUUUGUUCCCCCUGACCGUGAAUCAGAAUCAUUGGUGAGGUUCUCAAAGAUGCAAACACUGAAGAGUCCAGCCUCUAAAGCUUGGAUGUAAUAGGUCUGGGCUGAGACUGGGCGUCUGCCUGGUUUUAAUGCCAGAGGAGACUCUGUGCAUACCUAGUCUCCAGCACUGUUUCCUUUUCCCUGCAGACAGCAAAGUCUUUCUUACUCAUGACAUCAGGAGACCUAUAAAUUUCUCUUUAAAUUAGUGGCCCUCUCUGUGCUCUCCUCCUGUUUUGUUCAGCUCUGUUUUGUUAGCUGAAAGGAUGUUAUUUUCUCCAAGGAGUCAAUAAUCCAUCAUUUCACAUGUGAAGAAAAUACAUUUAUAAGAUCUAAUGGUGGUCUUUUUUUUUCAAAAGACUUGAAGUAGAGGAGAGGAAGUUGACCAAACAGGGUUUCCAAAGAGGAAAUAAACAUGGAGGGAGAGGGAAGGAGAUGGGUGAUUCCAGUUCACAAAACUCUGGGGAAACACUUCUUUCUUUGGUCAUUUUGAGGAACUCUUCAAAGAUUUGGGGUCAAAUUGAUACUGGCCCUGAUAUCAGUUUCUCUACAUUAAACCCUGCAUAUAUGGGGUUAAAACCAAAGCACUCAUUCCCUGCCUGCUCCCUGGCUUCCUGGCUCCACAAUCCACUAUCCUCCAUGGAGACAGACACAGCCAAGGAUAAGCACCUGGAUUCGUGAUCUCCUCCCCAACAAGGAGACACAGGCUGGUGGGAAAGCUGCUGAGCAGCAAGGUCACAGGCUCCCUCCUCUCUGCAAGUGUCUCAAGGCCAAAGACAGGCUGGUGGGAAAGCUCCAACCAGCAAGGCCAUGUGCUCCCCCUCCUCUACCUAAAACUCCAAAUAAAAACCCUUCCUUUUAGCUUUUCAGGGAGUUUGGGAUUUCAGUAUUAGCUGUCCUAUCUCCUUAUUCAGCUCUGUGCAAUAAUAAAAUUCCUACUUUCUUCCACUAUACCCAGUGUCAGAGAUUGGCUUGCUGCACAACGGGUGAGCAAAUUCACUUCAGGUGCAAUAUCAGAAUGUCAUCAGCUGCUCAAGUUCAGAAGGGUGGAGGGCAAUCAUGCAUCGCAGAGUGCCCAAGAGAGUCCUGGUUUGUGCUGGCCAUGCCAUCAAUUGUUAAGAAUGUCUCUUUUCACUCUUAAAAGUACCCUGGACUUGAGACAAUAUUAUAUGGUCACUCAAAGGUUAAGGAAGAGUGAUUUGGGAAUCAGAUUAUAAACGCAGACUUGGCAAGUUUCUUAACCUCUGAGCUUCUGUACCUUCCUGUGUUAAUUGAGAACGCGAUCUUGAAGCUGUUGUGACGGUUGAAGUACAUGGUCAAGGUGAAGCACAUGCCCCUGAGUCUUGCACUGUGGAACUCACCAAGCAGUAGCCGUUAAUACCAGGAUUGACACCAUGGCUGGGAAGCCAGCCUGCCCUGUUUUAAACCAAGACGCUACCACUUCUGAGCAGUGAAACUUGAAACAAUUUUCUUGUCCUCUCAAUUCCUCAGUUUCUUAUCUGUAAAAUGGAGGUAAGGAAAGUUCUUGUCUAGCACAGUGUGUCAUAAGGAUAGAAUGAGUUAGACUGUACAUAGCGCCUUGAACAAUACUUGGCACAUAGUAAAUACUCAAUAAUGUAAUAUAUUAUUAUUAAUCCAAAGAAAUUUAGAUUUUAAUUUUACCUUCUGGAUAAAUGGCAUCUCAGUUAAUUUGAAGGUGUCUUUUUGUGGUAUAAAAAUAUUUAGGGUAAAGCUGAGACUCAUAAACUGUUGGCUUCCAUUUUGAUAUUGGGCAUUCGAGUGUUUCACAUUCAUGAACUACAGCUAUUUUCGCUCCUUUUCUUGUGUGUGCGUGAGUGCUCAGAGCCUGUUCCAGUUUGUCCUCUUGCUGCUAUUACUGUCUUAAUUCUCAUUCUAAGAAAGUGGGACACCAUAGGGCUAUAUCUGGGCAUGACCUCGGGGUUCCUGCCUUCCUGAUGAGAUGAAGGGUUGAGGAAGGAACAGACGAACGUGGAUCCUGUGAAACAAGAGACUACCCAGAAGCUGAAGGGAAGUUGACACAAAGCACUUGUUUCAACAUAAGCUUUCAGCCCGAAGGAGCUAGAAAGGAACACAGCAUCUAGGAAUUAGACUUGGGGUAGUAGGGGGGAGGGGGAGGGGACUUAGAAUUUUUCACGAAAAUUUCCAAACUCGAAGUUCAUAACUAAUAUUUCUUUCUCCUCAAUAUAAAUAAAAUAAGAUGGUCAGCUAUUAUAACAGAUAAUAAUGAGUAAUGUUCAUUCAUAUAGGUGUAUCUUUCAAUGCAUGGUCAAGUGGAAAACUAAUAAAAUUAAACAUGGCAAUGCUUAAUUUACCAGCAAAAACACUUUUUCUAUUGUUUUGUUAGCUCACACUGAGCUGUCAGGAUAGCUGCUUCCACUGAAUCAGAGAAACAGACAUCACUUAUAACCAGUUUAUUGAAAGAGCUGAACUUAGUAGGAUGCAGGCGGAAAGCAAUUUAAUUUAUUUUUUACCUAUUCUCUCAACUCGUUCUUCCCCACCCCCAGAUGAAAUGUGGGUCACUCUCAGAUUAUAAAUCUUAAAUUUCAUUUUCAACACAAUAGAAAAAAAAUCCACCCAGAGUAGCAUGAAAAUUUCAAACUCUCUUCCAGUGUAAAGCUUUUCCCUUUCCCGGGUCUGGAUCUGCUUUAUGUUUGGGAACCUGCCAAAGAAAAGUGAGGCAAACAGAGCGUGUUAGCUGAGGUCCUGUAACAGAUAAAUCCCGAAAUGUCAGUGGCUUAACACAAUGGAAAUUAGUUUUUGCUCGUAAAAAAUGGAAUCAGCUGUAGUGGGCUUGGGGCAAUAUGGUGUUGGUGGGGGAGGAGGAUCUCCUCCACCUCGUUGUUCAAGGAUCCAAGAUGUCAGAGGCUCAGCUGUCUUCAAUAAUGUGGAUUCCAAAGUUGCCCUGGUCUUAGAUUGGGUUUCCCCAGAAGCAGAUCCUGAAACAAGUUUUGAAUAAAGGUAGUUUUUAUUUGGGAGGCAGUCACAGCCAAUCACUAAAGAUCAGGGAAGUGAGGUGGGGAAAGGAAAGAAGACAAUAAUAGUUACACAAUUUAUCACCAAGGGCCACCAGAACCUAGUCCUGCUGGGAAACGGUAUAGACCGUGCGCUCCAGAGUUACCUCACCCAGGGAGAAGGGGGCUGGGGGAUUUCUCCACGGACUCCACACAGCCGUUGGCUUAGGAUUGCUCACAUAUUGAGGAGGUGCUAAUGCCCUGGCAUUUCCAACCUGCCAUAUAUAUGGGCAAAGAAGGCUCCAGUGGCUGAAAAAAGCCUUCAGGCAAAGAGAGUCAGGCACAGGCAGCUGGAAUAUAGGUUAGUGUGCACUUAAAUAUUAAGGGCUAAGGGCACCUGGGUAGGGUAUUUAUAGGGUUUUCUAUAUCCUGGGUAUCAACAUCUAGCUGCCAGAAGAGGCAAAAGAGAGAACAUGGAAGAUUUUCUGGGAGGUUAAUGUGGGCCAGUAACAUCUAUCACCUUCACCCACAUCCCGCUGGGCAGAACUCAGUCAUGUGCCCCCAUCACUAUCCACAGGGCAUUGCCUCUGGAAACCGUAACCCCAUGGUGAGUAGUCACUCUCUUGAAUGACGUAGUCAUGGAGGGGAGCACAAGCCAUGGUGGACUGCCAGCUGUCUCCACCAUACCUGGCUGCUGCUUCUCUGUCUAUCCAGCUUGUUCUUUACUUUUCAGCCCCUAGUCACUGUCUGCACUCAGUUCCUUCAGGGCUGGACUUGGAGGAAGGAGAGGAGAUAUGGGGCAAAACUUUCUCACUUGAUUGGUUCAGCUGAAAUCCAUCAUUAGUACUCUCUGGAUGUGGCAACAGCAAACACUGAUUUUUUCUCCACGGGGUAAUUUUGUGGGUUCUUUAGAGCUUGCAUUGCUGGUGAUCUCUUGCCUCCAGUUUCCUUGAUGUGGGCUACAACUCCUCCUCUGGUAGGUCUGAAAGCUCUCUCCAAGCCCCGGGUUGCUGGUGAUCCCCACUUUGUUCAGGUUACCUGGCACAGACCAGCAGUGUCUUGAGAGAGCCCUUGCUCCAAACCAUCCAUUCCCUCCCACGUGAUCCAUGUCAGGCUCAUCAGCAUCUGGACGUGGGACCAUCCUCGACACUGCCCCAUCCUUGGCUCAAAAGAGCAACUGGCUACAGAUCACAUGCCAGGCUCUCCAGGCUGCUUUGUUUUGUUUUGGUUUGGUUUUUUGCAGCCACUGUCAAUGGGCUGAGGCGGGGAAAGCUCGCCUCUCCCUUUGUUCCUCGUGGCAAGGUUGGUGGGAACUCCCAGCACGCUGACCCUCUCACCAAGCAGAGCCUCCCCACCAGCUGCUUCAACAUCUCAAUGACGUUUCCAGCUCGUCUCAUACAGCCUUGCGCAGGGUGCAGGGAGCUCACUUUGGACCACAUUCGUUUCAGGUUCAGCACAGGUGCUGGCCCUUCCUUUGGAAUGUGGGAGAAUUUGUCACCCAUUGUUUGCAGCCUUUGGGACCUCUGUGACACUCCAAGACAACAGGAAACCUGUAUUCAAUAUCCUGUUGCACGCGCUGAGGAAUUUCUCCCAAUGUCUACAUUUCUAGGACAUCUUGGUGGCUACAACAAUCAAUCAAGAGAACUCUGGGAACUAUUAGGCCUGUUCCUUAGAUUUUAGGAAGAUGAGUUUCGAAACCAUAUGGCAAGAGACCAUAAAGGAGACAUGGCUCAGGGACAUGUCAAGCUCUAAAAUAAGUGAAAUUUUGAAUCUCAAGUCUAAAUGAAGAAUAAAAUGAAGAUGGUGGGGGGCAUUUAAAGAGAGCACUGGGGUCAUCCUGGGGGACCUUGCUGAUGGAUUCCUGUUUGAAACGACAUCUUCAUACAAGACAUCACAACAGAGGGAGGGGAUGAGCAGGCACAAAUGCGAGAAGAACAAAUCUGUCACAGCAGCUCUCAGAAAAUUGGGGCGCACCAUGGACCUAGGUUUACAAAAAAUCCUACAGAACAAAGGCAUGACUUUCACAAGCUAUAUUUGGAAAACAAAAGAAACAAGGGAGGGAUAAGCCCACCGCUUGGGACAGACAGCACCUGUUAGCCAAGAACAGAGCAAAGGCCAAAGGGCUGUCUGCGCAUUUUAUUUUAUCCCGAAGGGUGACUUUUCAUCUGAAAAAUUGUAGCAAAAGCAUUUUUAGGAGCAAAUUGAAGACCAGAAUAGAGGGCAAGAUUGUAAAGGAACAGCCAGCUGCCUCAGACUAAUUAAAGUUUCCAAAUCCAGGGGAAUGAUCUCCCCAAAUACAUAAGAACAUACAGAUAUGACCAGAGAACCCUCGUAGGUGCUACCUCCCACUGUGGAGCCCUUUCUGUUUGCUCCCUCUGCUGGGAGCUCCUGUGCCCCCAAACAGCCACAUUCACCUGAAUAAUUAGUACUCACACCUGGGGGCUCAGGUCAGGGGCCUCUUCUCCAGCCCUUCCUGGCUCCGAGGCUGGUAUGGACGCCCUGGCUCCGAAUUCCUGAGCUGUCCCACGGCACUGCCCUCAAAAGACUCAUCAAGUGACCCUGCCCACCACUUGUCGGCAAGAGAGCCUUACCCAUUCUCUGCUUCAGCACCCGGGCUCGGCACAGUGCCGAGACAAGCUCAGUGCUCAGCAGGUAUUUCUUGAAUUAAUGAAUCAACUGCACCACUAUGUCCUUCUUGACCCUUUCUCACAGAAGAGUUUGCCUGCCCCAAGGCAAAGCUAACUAGACCCUUUCAUGUGUGCAUGGAGUUACUGUCUGAAUGUUAGCAUACAGAGAUGCCUGCGUGUGUAGAUACACAUCGUGCAAACAAUUCUUUCUUGAGUUUACAGCUGCAGCACUUGCAUCUGGAAGAAUAGCCAACGCUUACGCCACUCAAUACGCCAACAAACAACCUCCACGAUUUUCCCCAGCCCAGCAUUUACAGUGCGUCAGGACGUUAAAAAUCCUCCCAACAGCCCUGAAAGGUAAACGUUAUACUCUCCCAUUUUAGAGUUGAGGGAAUAGGCUCUGAGAGGUAAAGCAUCCUGCCCAGGACCACACAGACGGAAGUGAGAGAAAGGGUAUUUAACCCCAGAUCUGCUCAGUCCAAACCUAGCACCUGGUCUUAGCUUCCCAGGGCUGCCUGAACAGAAUAUCAUAACUGGGGGCCUACAAAGACAGACAUUUAUUCUCCCACAGUUCUAGAGGCUGGACGUCCAAAAUCAAGUGUUGGCAGGACCCUUUUCCCGCUGAGACUUUGGGUGGAACCCUCCUUGCCCCCUCCCGGCUUCUCAGCAUUCCCUGACCUGCAGCUGCAUCCCCAGUCUCUGCGUCCGUCAUCACGUGGCCAUUCUCCUGUGUGUGUCUUCACAGCACGUCCCCUCUUCUUAGAAGGACUCCAAUCAUAUCGAUUAGGGCCUGCCCUCAUUACCUCAUCUUAACUAACCACGUAUGAAUAUCCCUAUUUCCAAAUAAGGUCAGAUUCUGAGGUACUAGGAUCAGGAUCCCGACAUAUGUUUUGUUGAACCUGGUUCCACCCACAUCACGCCUGCUCGCUAUUUGCUGCCUCCCUGAGCAAUGUGGGAGGGAUGUGAGCACGAUUCUCUUAACCUUGAGAUAACAGGGAACAAAUUGUUCUGGAGAGGCACAGCAGAACAAUACAACAAAGUAGAGAGGGAAUCCUAAAGAGCGCAUCUAAACAUCAAUUGCAUGAUUUCUACUUUCCAUUACAAAGUUUUAGUCCAUAAAUUGUUCCUUAAGCUAUUACCAUCUUAAUGGAGAUGCCACUGUCAUGAUGAAGUCUAACACAAGAAAGUCUGAGACUUAAACGUCGAUUUUUACAUCAGGGAUUUGACUUCACUACACAGACAAAAGGUUGGGAGUGAAAGCAGACACUCGAGUCAGCCUUCGGGCAGCUGACGGCCUUACGUGGAACCAAAGGGUGCUGCAGACUCACUGUGAACAGUGGGGGAGGGAGCCUGCUCUCCACACACAGUCUGGGCUUCUCUCCCGGAGCAGGGAGCUCGGCCAGGGGUUGUGUGACUACUUCUCAGAAGCGCAACGGGAGCUGAGGUGACGUGUGUCACUUCUAGGUCUCAUGGUCUCAUUCCCAUCCACUGGUUGGAGGUGAGGACAGCAAGGCUGCAGAGGCAUGAUGCCAGGAGUCCAGGGCCCUGAGUUACCAGGUCAAGGAAAACUGCCCACUGAGGGGGGCACUCACGGACCACCAGGUUAGGCAGGCAGAGCUGGCAGGGCAGGGGUCAUGGGUUACAGCAGGUAGUGCCAUCCUGAUUAACACAGAGAGUGGCACCUUAACACAGAGUGACACUAAAACAAAAACAAGUGACCUUGGCUUAGAUGACAAAGUUUAGGCAGCGAGGAAAUAAAUAACACAGGCUGGAAAAAGUGGAAACGAGUACUACAGAAAGGCAAAAUAUUUGGUAAAAUUGCCACCUGUCAUAACUUGGACAGACCACAUGCCUACGGAGCCUGCAUCUUUAGGAGAAGGGGUUGGAAAGAGCAUUAAUGUGUGUUAGCUUUGCUUGCUGCUUUCAGCAAGGUAUUACAAAACAAACCAAAAACGACCUUACGCAAAAGUUGGCUGAUUGGAAAUCACAGUUGGAAAUCACAAGGAUGGAAAAGCAAACUGCUCUAGAAUCUAAGUAAAAACCUGAAAAAUAAAAUCUUUGAGAAACAGAGGCCUGUGAGGUUCCUCAGUUAGAUAAAGUGAUUCCAUCUCAUGGUAAAAAUCAGCAUAAGUCUACUGAAGUCCACCCAUGCCUGUGCCUUCCAACGCCUCCGAAGCAGACACCAGUAAGCUGCAAGGUCGAGACCUGGGGAAAGGAGACAGACCAAGCAGUCAUGUGAACCUACCUCUGGCACGGACUUCACACGUGGUUCCUGAUACAUGGGACUGAGCGGGAACAAACAGAUCAGAAGUCCACUGUAUUUCUGAGGCAUCUGCACUGCCAAAGAAAUCACUAUAAUGAUCCAAUGAGUAUUCAAGUCUUAAAACCCUUGGGACCCCAAACUUUCAAAGGCAAAAUAUAAGCAGUGAAAACCCUGUAGACCCCUUGGACACUUCUUAAUGCCCACUUGAGAUGGGCUAUGGAGAAUAUUAGGAAAAAAAAUUUUUUCAGAGAAUGGAGCCAGGAUCCACAGAGAAAACUGACAGAGUUUCUCCCAGAGAACAGAGUAAGGACCCACUCUGGGAAGCCCUUCCCUUCAAGCUGGGUCCUGCAUUCUUUUGACAUUCCCCGUUAUUUAUUUUUUUUAUGAUGUUCUGCUUUUUCUGGCUCAUCUUUUGCUUUUCCUAUCACAGUCCUAGACUUGGAUAUUAUUCCAAGGAGCUCAACUUCCUGUUAAUGGGGAAUGGCAUUUGGUAACCAAAAUUUAGCAUGCUCAUUGCUAUUGGGACGUCUUUAUUUCUAGUUCUUUUCUGCAGAUAAACCUGGGGUGGUUAGGGGUAGGAGCUACACACAAGUAUAUCUGUUUGUCUCUUUCUAUCAUCUAAUAAUCAUUUGUCCUAGAAUCCGUGAGCUCACGCCAAUACCUCCAAUGCCGUCCAGCUCCAGAUGGCUCAUCCUCCCGCUCUCCAUAUUUGCAGCUCUUAUUCAAAGUGAGAAAACUGGCCCCCAUUUCCUCCAUAUAUUUACUCGUGCGUUCAAUCUCCAUUUUACUCGGAAUGUUUCAAAUUUCUAACCCGUACUACCGUGAAAAACAAACUAAUCUGAAUUCAUAUUUGUUUGCAAUUCUUUUUAUCUUCAGCACAAAGAUAUAAGUCAAGUGCUGUAUUCAAACUUUACUUGGUUAUUUAUUUCUCCCCUCAGUGUGGUUUUUUUAUUAAUUUGAAAUCGAGUCAGGUUCAUAGGUUUCUGUUUAUAUUCCAUUUUGAAGGUUUUUUUCACAUCCUUGUUGACAUGAUUAGAUAGUAUUUUUGAGUGUGUUCCAAAAGUCAAAAUUACAUGAAAAGGCACACUCAGAGAAAUAUUACUCCCUCCCCCGCCCAUAUCUUCCACCCUUUUCCCACCUGCUCACACAGGUAACCAUCUCACUCUCCGGUUUGUCUUUCCUGUUCCUUUUUACAGAUGUGUGUUGAAUAAGCUAUGGUGGAGCCACAAAACUGAGCACUAUGUGGGUGUAAAAAAUGGCAAGGAACAUCUCUGUGAACUGAGAAGGAGUGAUUUCCAUGGCACAUUAUGAAGUGAAAAAGUUUCAGCAUUUCUGUGUGUGGCGACACGCGAUGCUUGAAUCUUCCUCGAAGAGAACCUGCUGCGGGGAGGGAGUUGACUGACAAUCUCUGGUCGCCACAUUUGCAGAUCUACCACAAUCUUCCCACUGGGGACGUGCUUCCCCUGGGGUGCUCCCAGCCGAGGACUGAGAACAGCAGGGGUGUGGAGAAUGGCCGUUGAAGCCCACGUGGGAUCUCUCUGAGGACAGGCUUUCCGUGGACCCUCCAUUGUUCUGGCUGACGAGGUCUUAGAACUAUCCUGUUGUCUGAGGCGCUUCCCAGCCAAUUCCUUUAUCCCCCUCCCCCUUCACAGUGUCAGACCACCACCCUGUCUGAAGCCUCUCUCCUUCUCUCUACAUCUUUCACGGGCAUUUCCCCCAAGAAAUCUCUUACACGUCUGACCCCUUCCUUGUAUCUGCAUCUCAGGAAACUCUGACAGUGUAAGAACAUGUGUGUCCUUUGUAACAUAAUUUAUAUCUGGAUUUUUAAAUCCAAUAUAGCAUUCUAAGUGGCUACCAUGGUUUUAUUAUACUCCUUAUCAUAUAUAGUUGGACUUGUUUCUAUCCUUUGGCAUUUUGAUUUCUAUGCGUCCUGCUUUUUUUAGGAUUUGAUUUUCCCCCUUUUUGUUGCCUUUUUCUGCCUGUGGUUAGGACAUUGCACGUUCUAUUUCCAUUUGUUUCACUUUAUGUUUCCAGUGGUUCACCAAAUGCGUAUUUAACUGAAGGUCUAAAAUUAACAGUACUUUAUUCCCUUCCUAAGUAACGCAAGGAUCUUGAAAUCUCCUCCUUCCCACUCACCUCCCAGUUUACCACCGUCCCUCUCCAGUCCUGGAGGUUUGCAUUUCAACCCGUCAAGUUAGCAUGCAGUGUUUAUUUUAGAUGUGUAUCUAUAUUCCUCACGUUCUGUAUUCACCCUUUUUCCUUCCAUCCCAGACAUUCCCUCUGGGACCAUUUUCCUUCUUCCCAGAGUACAUAUUUUAUAAUGGUGUUUUCAUAAAGGUCUAUUGAUGAUAAAGCUCAGUUUUUGUUAUGUGAAAAUAUAUUCAUUUCACGUUCAUUCUUAAAAGAGAGUUUGGUGGUCCCAGGCUGACAGUUAUUUCCUCUCACCAUCUACAGACAGUGUUCACCUGGCUCCUGGCCCUGUUGUUGCUGUGAAAGUCCGCUCUUGGUCUAACUGUUGCUGCCUUGUGGCGAUUGCUCUUUUCUCUCUGGCUCUUUGCUUUUGGUAGUCGUCCAUUUCACUGUGGUGCGUCUGGAUGUCAUUUCUCCCUGUUUAUCCCGAGUAAUUCUCUGAUAUAGCUCCUCUUCCUCUUCUCUACUUUAUUCUCUUCCUCUGAGCUCUCAUUAGGAAUGUUGAAACAUAUCAUCCUGUGUUCCAUAGAUCUUACCUUGUUUUUUAUAUAUUUCACGUCUUUGUCUCAUUGUGCUGUGUUCUGGAUAAUUCUGAUUUUUUUUAGUUCACUAAUUUCUCAAUUGUGUCUAAUUUGCAGGUUCGCUUUUCCUCUGUGUUAUACUUUAUGUUAACAAAUAUUUAUUCAUUUACAGCAUUCUAUUUUACUACAAAGAAGUUUUCUGUUGCCUGAUCAUCUUUGUGAUUUUUUUUCUUUUAUUUUUUUGAGUAUUCCAUACGCUUCAAAAUCCGAAGUUCUGGGAGGUCUAACUGUUACGUGGCUUCCAUUUAAUGUCCAUUAUGGUGCCUUGUUCCCUCGUGAGCCUGGUGAUUUUUUAUUGCAACCUCCUAUUUGUGUUAAUAAGCAGAAACCCUUCAGCCCUAAAGUGGGUAUACAUUCCACUAGAGAGUGGAUGUGUCUAUUUCUGCCAGGAUCCAGGAGGUGGUACAAACUUGGAACUACUUUGCCUCCCUUCUAGAAUCUUAUAUUAAUGAAGAAUCUCAUUCUUUUACUAUUUGCUAUAUAGGUAGCUUUUAACUUUGCUUUUGAUUUCUUCUUUGAUAUGAAGGUCAUCCAGGAAGAUGUUGGUUUAUUUCCAAGUACUGGAGAUUUUUUGGGUCACUUUUUAAAUAUUUAUUUCUAACCUUAUUGAAUAUGAUCAGAACUGUGGCCUGUCACAUAUGCGUUGAAACUUUCAUUACGAUUUUCCUUAUGGCCAAGUGAAUGUUCAGUUUUUAUCAAAGUUUCAUGAACAUAGUAACAAAGGCAUUGUCCCAUAUUUGGGUUUCUUGAUCAGUCAAUACGACCUACAUUGUUACCUCUUUGGGGCCGUUGGAGCUAAUUUUGAGUCCGAUAUAUUGAACUCUGUUGCGACAAUUGUGUUUUUGUCACGCGCUCCUUGCAUUUAUAAUUUUUUCUGUGUAUACUUAGCUUUUAGAUUGCUCUGUGGCAGACAGUUUCAUGAAUCAUGCUUCUUCUUCACAGGUGUACUUUUCAAAACUCCCUCUGCUUCUCUCUGUGUGUAUAAACUCUAUGUUGCAUUAUAUAAAUAUUUCAAUCCUCAUCUUUCAUAAUCAGAUGCAAGUUUCUCUACAUGUUUGAAAAUAAGAUACCAAAUGUUACUCCCUGCUUCUCCUUCAACUCCCGUGAGACCCUUUCUAGAAUAGCUUCACUCUCCCCUUCUUUCCCAGUGACCAACUCCUGGGCUUGCUUAAGUUAACUGUUAUAGUUCUAGGCUCUUAUUAGAACUUUCCUUGAAGCUUUCCCCUCAAGAUUUAAGAGUUCUUAGUGCACUAAUACCACACUCCCAGAGAGUCUAUCAUCAUCUAUGUGGAUGUCACUGACUUCACUGUCCACUACCAGGGCCAGCGGACCAUCUGUGGGACACCAGCACAGGAGGACAAGUGGGUGUCCUCAUGCCUCAUGUAUAAGCAUAUGAAAGUUAUGUCAAGUUAAACUUCAUAAAACAUGCUGCGUGUUCCAAUGUGGGAAAUACAUCCUACCUGUAAAAUGGUAAAAUCAAAAAGUAUAUGUAAAGUUAUGGUUUCUGAAUGACUUAAAGUUCAUAAACUAUAAAAAGCAACUGAAUCCAAUUAUUGCAUAUGUCAGAUUGUUCUUUUGAUGAACCAGUAAUGUUUAUAAAAUAAAAACACACAUUUUCAUAAGUUAUUGUAUGUUUAGUCCAUAAAAUCUAUUUUCUUGCCUUCAUUUAAGCAAAAUUACUAAUUAUGUUCUUAUAAUAAAAUUACCUACGGGGCCAGCCUGGUGGCAUAGUGGUUAAGUUCAUGUGCUCUGCUUUGGCGGCCCAGGGUUCUUGGGUUCAGAUCCCUGGGGCAGACUUACAUGCUGCUCAUCAAACCAUGCUGUGGCAGCAUCCCACACACAAAAUAGAGGAAGAUUGACACAGAUGUUAGCUCAGGGCCAAUCUUUCUCAUCAAAAAGAAAAAGAAUUACCUAAGAGACUAAAAAAAAAUGUAAGUUAAUCACAAAUAUAAAAAUUGAAUAUAGUUUCAUCAAAAAUUAAAACAUUUUCAAAAAAUUCUUCAAAUAUAUUUAUAUUAUCCAUUAAAUCAAAAAUAAAACAUAAUUUAUAGUUAAUGAAAUUUUUGAAUGAAACUUUUUAGAAGGCUGAAUUUUGAUGUGAUUUUAAACAUUUAAUAAAUCUCACUCCAUCUUGUUACAAAAAUAAAACUAUUUUCAGUUUUAGUAUUCAGUAUCCAUCUAGUAUCAAUGAUUUCAAAAUGUAUAUCAUGCUUCAUUCAUCUUCUGUCUAAUCUACAUACGUGCAAAUUAAAAAGUAACUUGUGUUGUUAAUGCUGCAAAAUAUUCCUUAGCCGCAAUGUGCAACUGUUGCCAACAGCGUGCUAAUUUUCUAGUGCAAACAGCAUGCUAACUUUCUAGUACCCCCAGAGCCAGGAAUUGGAACAGGAAGAGAAGCAAGAAAAAUAGAUCCUCAGUACUAGUGGGAAAUGAUACCUCGAUAUGGAAGAAUUGUUGCGUCCAUAUUAUCUGAGAGGAAGGAUUUGAUGAGUUAAUUCAACGUCCUCUCCUGAUCUAAGUCUGUAUGUUCCUCACACCCUCCGUGCACGGCGAGAGCUCCGGAGAAGCGUUUCCCUGGACGAGGCCCAGCUGGGAAUGGCUGUUUACAGUGAGGGUUUGCACUGUGCAGCCAUGGGCACUGACUCCUGACAGCUAGGGCUGUCUAGACCUCGGGAUACCUAAAGGCCCUUCAAUAAAUCUAUUUUUGGCGUGUCUGUGAUCUGAGGGGCCCUGUAACCUUGGGACCUAGGAGAGGUCCCUCUCACCUCGAUGCCAGAGGAAGGAGGUCUCGAUUUCCUCUCUUCUUCAAAUUCCUUUCAGAUAAGGAAGAUGCAUCCUUCAAAAUUCCUCCGAUGGGGUAUGUGGUGAUGCGCUCCUGAGUUCUUGCAUAGCCACAGAUAUCUGUCACCAGGAAAGAGGACAACUGGCUGGGUACAGGAUCUCUGAAUUGAUUUCUUUCUGGGGCAGAUCAUUUUCUUCUGUCUUGACUUGCAGCUUUGAG
rnacentral:lncRNA from 1 species